ACUCAAAUGAAUUGACGGGGACCCGCACAAGCGGUGGAGCAUGUGGUUUAAUUCGACGGUAAGCGAGGAACCUUACCAGGGUUUGACAUGCCACUUCAAGCGCACGGAAACGUGUGAUCUUCGAGAGUGUGGCACAGGUACUGCACGGUUGUCGUCAGCUCGUGUCGUGAGAUGUUCCCUUAAGUGGGAGAACGAGCGCAACCCCCGUAGUAUGUUGAUUUUCAUACUAGACUGCCGGCGUUUAAGCUGGAGGAAGGUGGGGAUGACGUCAAAUCAGCGUGGUCUUUACGCCCUGGGCGACACACGUGCUACAAUGCAUAGGAACAAAGGGACGCAACAUCGCAAGAUAGAGCAAAUCCUCUCAAAAACUAUGCUCAGUUCGGAUUGGGGGCUGCAACUCGCCCCCAUGAAGCUGGAAUCGCUAGUAACCGUGAAUCAGCCUCGUCACGGUGAAUACGUUCUCGGGUUUUGUACACACCGCCCGU
rnacentral:rRNA from 1 species